rnacentral:rRNA from 1 species
CCUACGGGAGGCAGCAGUGAGGAAUAUUGGUCAAUGGACGAGAGUCUGAACCAGCCAAGUAGCGUGAAGGAUGACUGCCCUAUGGGUUGUAAACUUCUUUUAUAUGGGAAUAAAAUGUUCCACGUGUGGGAUUUUGUAUGUACCAUAUGAAUAAGGAUCGGCUAACUCCGUGCCAGCAGCAGCGGUAAUACGGAGGUUCCGAGCGUUAUCCGGAUUUAUUGGGUUUAAAGGGAGCGUAGGUGGAUUGUUAAGUCAGUUGUAAAAGUUUGCGGCUCAACCGUAAAAUUGCAGUUGAAACUGGCAGUCAUGAGUACAGUAGAGGUGGGCGGAAUUCGUGGUGUAGCGGUGAAAUGCUUAGAUAUCACGAAGAAGUCCGAUUGCGAAGGCAGCUCACUGGACUGCAACUGACACUGAGGCUCGAAAGUGUGGGUAUCAAACAGGAUUAGAUACCCGGGUAGUC